GGUCGCUUGGUGUAGUGGUCAAACACCUGGCUGAGGUGACCUGCCUGCCUAGGCGGCACAAACCUCGUUGGUUCGAAUCCAGCAGCGAUCA